UGGAGGCAGCAGUGGGGAAUAUUGCGCAAUGGGGGAAACCCUGACGCAGCGAUGCCGCGUGAGUGAAGAAGGCCUUCGGGUCGUAAAGCUCUGUCAAACGGGAAGAACAGCUCCGGGGUUAAUAUCCCCGGGGUGUGACGGUACCGUUGAAGGAAGCACCGGCUAACUCCGUGCCAGCAGCCGCGGUAAGACGGAGGGUGCGAGCGUUAUUCGGAUUUAUUGGGCGUAAAGAGCAUGUAGGCGGUCAGCCAAGUCUGAUGUGAAAGCCCGGGGCUUAACCUCGGAAGGGCGUUGGAAACUGGUUGACUUGAGUUCGGGAGAGGGAAGCGGAAUUCCGGGUGUAGAGGUGAAAUUCGUAGAUAUCCGGAGGAACACCGGUGGCGAAGGCGGCUUCCUGGACCGAAACUGACGCUGAGAUGCGAAAGCGUGGGGAGCAAACAGGAUUAGAUACCCCGGUAGUCUU
rnacentral:rRNA from 1 species